rnacentral:rRNA from 1 species
AUGACAAUCCUCAGCUGGAACUGUCGGGGUCUGGGGCAGCCUCGCACAGUUCAAGAACUCGUGUGCCUAGUGCAUACGUAUAAGCCCAAGCUCGUCUUCCUCCCUGAGACACGGCAAAGCAAUAAGUAUGUCAGCAACCUCAAGUGGAGGCUAGGCCUCCGCCAUUGUAUCACGCAACCCGGCAUCAGAAAAGGUGCCGGCAUUGCGCUCUUUUAUGAUGAGAAUGUCGAAAUAAAGAAAAUUGCCGUAGGGGCGAGAUACAUCGAUGUGUUAAUUCGCCUAAAUCCGAAUGGGCUCCAAUGGCGUGGUACUUUUGUCUAUGGUGAACCAAAAGCACAUGAGCGACACCUGAUGUGGACUUUGUUGAGAAGAAUCAAGGACACUAGUAAGCUCCCAUGGUUGAUGAUGGGAGACUUCAACGAAACUAUGUGGCAGUCAGAACAUUAUUCAGCAUCAAAGAAAUCGGAAAGAUAUAUGGAAAAUUUUCGCAAUGUUCUCUCCGAUUGCAACCUUUCCGAUUUGGGUUUCAAAGGACCGGGGGGACGUAUAACAACAAACAGAAGGGCGCAGACAAUGUACGUGCUAGAUUGGACAGGAGUGUGGCUUCCCCGGAGUGGUCUGACUACUUCAAAAAUGCAUCUCUAG